CAGUCGACGCGCGUCAUCAGGAGCUUGCUCCUGUGACGCGAGUGGCGGACGGGUGAGUAACACGUAGGCAACCUGCCCAUCAGACCGGGAUAACCACGGGAAACCGUGACUAAUACCGGAUAAUCCUUUUCCUCACAGGAGGGGAAGUUGAAAGGCGGUCUUUUGACUGCCACUGAUGGAUGGGCCUGCGGCGCAUUAGCUAGUUGGUGGGGUAAGGGCCCACCAAGGCGACGAUGCGUAGCCGACCUGAGAGGGUGAUCGGCCACACUGGGACUGAGACACGGCCCAGACUCCUACGGGAGGCAGCAGUAGGGAAUCUUCCGCAAUGGACGAAAGUCUGACGGAGCAACGCCGCGUGAGUGAAGAAGGGUUUCGGCUCGUAAAACUCUGUUGUCAGGGAAGAACGUCCCCGUGAGUAACUGCACGGGGAGUGACGGUACCUGACCAGAAAGCCACGGCUAACUACGUGCCAGCAGCCGCGGUAAUACGUAGGUGGCAAGCGUUAUCCGGAAUUAUUGGGCGUAAAGCGCGCGUAGGCGGUCUGUUAAGUCUGAUGUGAAAGCCCCCGGCUCAACCGGGGAGGGUCAUUGGAAACUGGCAGACUUGAGUGCAGAAGAGGAGAGUGGAAUUCCAUGUGUAGCGGUGAAAUGCGCAGAGAUAUGGAGGAACACCAGUGGCGAAGGCGGCUCUCUGGUCUGUAACUGACGCUGAGGUGCGAAAGCGUGGGGAUCAAACAGGAUUAGAUACCCUGGUAGUCCACGCCGUAAACGAUGAG
rnacentral:rRNA from 1 species